rnacentral:rRNA from 1 species
AACGAACGCUGGCGGCGCGUCUUAAGCAUGCAAGUCGAACGGCAAGAGAGGAGCUUGCUUCUCUCCUAGAGUGGCGGACUGGUGAGGAACACGUGGGAAUCUACCCUUAAGAUGGGGAUAGCUGCUAGAAAUAGCAGAUAAUACCGAAUACACUCGAUAUUUCAUAAGAGAUUUUGAGGAAAGGAAGCUACGGCUUCGCUUAAGGAUGAGCUUGCGUCCCAUUAGCUUGUUGGUGAGGUAACGGCCCACCAAGGCGACGAUGGGUAUCCGGCCUGAGAGGGUGAUCGGACACAUUGGGACUGAGAUACGGCCCAAACUCCUACGGGAGGCAGCAGCUAAGAAUAUUCCGCAAUGGACGGAAGUCUGACGGAGCGACGCCGCGUGGAUGAAGAAGGCUGAAAAGUUGUAAAAUCCUUUUGUUGAUGAAGAAUAAGGAGAAGAGGGAAUGCUUUCUGAUGACGGUAAUCG